rnacentral:rRNA from 1 species
AUUGAACGCUGGCGGCAGGCCUAACACAUGCAAGUCGAGCGGUAGCACAGAGAGCUUGCUCUCGGGUGACGAGCGGCGGACGGGUGAGUAAUGUCUGGGAAACUGCCUGAUGGAGGGGGAUAACUACUGGAAACGGUAGCUAAUACCGCAUAACGUCGCAAGACCAAAGUGGGGGACCUUCGGGCCUCAUGCCAUCAGAUGUGCCCAGAUGGGAUUAGCUAGUAGGUGGGGUAAUGGCUCACCUAGGCGACGAUCCCUAGCUGGUCUGAGAGGAUGACCAGCCACACUGGAACUGAGACACGGUCCAGACUCCUACGGGAGGCAGCAGUGGGGAAUAUUGCACAAUGGGCGCAAGCCUGAUGCAGCCAUGCCGCGUGUGUGAAGAAGGCCUUCGGGUUGUAAAGCACUUUCAGCGGGGAGGAAGGCGAUAAGGUUAAUAACCUCAUCGAUUGACGUUACCCGCAGAAGAAGCACCGGCUAACUCCGUGCCAGCAGCCGCGGUAAUACGGAGGGUGCAAGCGUUAAUCGGAAUUACUGGGCGUAAAGCGCACGCAGGCGGUCUGUCAAGUCGGAUGUGAAAUCCCCGGGCUCAACCUGGGAACUGCAUUCGAAACUGGCAGGCUAGAGUCUUGUAGAGGGGGGUAGAAUUCCAGGUGUAGCGGUGAAAUGCGUAGAGAUCUGGAGGAAUACCGGUGGCGAAGGCGGCCCCCUGGACAAAGACUGACGCUCAAGUGCGAAAGCGUGGGGAGCAAACAGGAUUAGAUACCCUGGUAGUCCACGCCGUAAACGAUGUCGAUUUGGAGGUUGUGCCCUUGAGGCGUGGCUUCCGGAGCUAACGCGUUAAAUCGACCGCCUGGGGAGUACGGCCGCAAGGUUAAAACUCAAAUGAAUUGACGGGGGCCCGCACAAGCGGUGGAGCAUGUGGUUUAAUUCGAUGCAACGCGAAGAACCUUACCUGGUCUUGACAUCCACAGAACUUUCCAGAGAUGGAUUGGUGCCUUCGGGAACUGUGAGACAGGUGCUGCAUGGCUGUCGUCAGCUCGUGUUGUGAAAUGUUGGGUUAAGUCCCGCAACGAGCGCAACCCUUAUCCUUUGUUGCCAGCGGUCCGGCCGGGAACUCAAAGGAGACUGCCAGUGAUAAACUGGAGGAAGGUGGGGAUGACGUCAAGUCAUCAUGGCCCUUACGACCAGGGCUACACACGUGCUACAAUGGCAUAUACAAAGAGAAGCGACCUCGCGAGAGCAAGCGGACCUCAUAAAGUAUGUCGUAGUCCGGAUUGGAGUCUGCAACUCGACUCCAUGAAGUCGGAAUCGCUAGUAAUCGUAGAUCAGAAUGCUACGGUGAAUACGUUCCCGGGCCU